rnacentral:lncRNA from 1 species
CUCUCGGGGUCUGACAGGCCUUCCUGCCGCCAGUAUGAACAUCCGCCGGGCUCGGCCGGACGACCUGAUGAACAUGCAGCACUGCAACCUGCUGUGCCUGCCCGAGAACUACCAGAUGAAGUACUACUUCUACCACGGCCUCUCGUGGCCUCAGCUCUCCUACAUCGCCGAGGACGAGGACGGCAAGAUCGUGGGCUACGUCCUGGCCAAGAUGGAGGAGGACCCCGAUGAUGUCCCUCAUGGACACAUCACCUCACUGGCCGUGAAACGCUCCCACCGGCGCCUUGGCCUGGCCCAGAAGCUGAUGGACCAGGCCUCCCGGGCCAUGAUCGAGAACUUCAUGAGGUGGAGCCCAAGUACUAUGCAGAUGGCGAAGAUGCAUAUGCUAUGAAGCGAGAUCUCUCGCAGAUGGCGGAUGAGCUGAGAAGGCAGCUGGUGCUGAAGAAAGGCAGAUACGUGGUUCUGGGUUCCAAGGAGAAUCAGGGGAGCACACUUCCUGGUUCUGAAGAGGCCUGUCAGCAGGAGAACCUGGCUGUAGGCGACAGUGGCAGUGAUGGCAAAGACAGCACUGAUGUCCAAGACAGCUUGCAGACCUUGGGGUCCGCCUCUUAGAGCCUGCCUGAGCACUA